AGAAUCUUAAGAUACACAAAAGAAAAAAGAAAAAACAGAACCCUCAAAGUUAUAUUUUUUUGUUCUAUUUAGACCUUCAGGAUGUUCUUAUUUCCUAUUUCAGAUUCGGAAAUUCAUACCUGCGGUGAAGAGAGUUUUAAAAAUUAAGGACGCAAAUAUGCCGGCACUCGAAUACUUGGAAGCCUAAUGAAUUAGGCAGUACCUGUGUCGUGAUCGAGUGAGACGCAACCAAUGGCUUCUGUGAUGCAAAAAAUCAAAGACAUUGAGGAUGAGGUAUAAUCUCCCGCCCUCUAUGCGUGUGUGCGUAGUAAUACCUAUUUAUUUAAACGUGCAUAUGUUAUUUUACUAUUUUUGUAAACUUCAAAACCAUUGCUGCUUUGCAGUUAGCAAGAUAUUGAGCCACAGAGUGUUAUUUUUGUUGCCUUUUUUUUUUGUCAAAUCUUAUUGGACACUAAUUAUGUUUUGGUUUUUUAUGAGGAACCGAUGAAACCGUGAAUUCACCUUUAUUGCUUUGUCAAUCACAAGGCAAAAAAAAAUUGCAAGACAUUGAAACCAACAAGUAC